rnacentral:lncRNA from 1 species
CCAGUCCUUGCUCCCAAAUAUAACUGCUACUUUUCUCUUUUUUUUUUUCAAGCUGAACCUCAAAAAGUUAGCCUGGCGAGGGGAGGAUGAUGAGAUUACCCCUCUUGUCACAUAAACAAGGAAGUAAAGGAGGCCCCUUGUGCUCUCAGAACUCCAAGCAUGAAACGAUUUUCUGCCAUUUCAGUUCCUGUUAUCGUGCUUUGAGGUGCACUGAACUGCAGCAAACCCAGAGGAUCCAAGGCUACGCUGAAAAGCCUCUGACCACAGUGCAGGGAGCAGAAGACAUUAAUGACAUGAUGUCGACACAACCCGCACUCAGGAUCCUCCAGGAAAAGAACACAGAGAUAACCCCGGAUCGAUGGUACUUUUUGAAAAUGCUUUACUGCAAAAGAGUGGCUAGGGUUUUACAAGGG